AAGACUAUACUUUCAGGGAUCAUUUCUAUAGUUUCUCACUUGAGAAAUGCUUUUCUAAAGUGUUUUGUCUCGCUAACCACGAUGAUGAGUUGUGAUAUUCCUUUCAGAGUGUGAAAGUAACAGAGAACAAUGUCUCAGCUCACAUGUUCUCUGUCAAUGAUGAUUGUUCUGUACUUCCUCAAGAAGUACUGAGGAAGGGAAUAUGAUCAGAGUGGU